CCUACCUGCACUGGCCAGCACAGCCCCUCGCUGUGGUCAGCUCGCUGUGGUCACAGGCAGCUCGCUGUGGUCACCCCAAAGGCCGGUUUACAGGGCGAACCUGCAGGAAAGAUCGUUCUUCGCACAGGAGCACUCUGCAUGCCAGACACAGGCCGCCCCUGCUGCGGGCAAAGGCCUGAACGCACCACAAACCACGCAGCCUCUCUUCUCCGCACCUCCAGAGCAAAGCCCACAGUGGUCUUAGGGAGAAGAACCCAACGCUAACCUCGGAACCAGGCUACAGACCUUCCCAGGACAAAGGACUUGGGGCAGUGAGCCCGCGGAGAUGUCACUUGCAGCCCUAGAAGGAAUGGGGUAAACAUGGCUACACUAACAGCAGACCCAGACCCCAAGCCCAUGGCCUCCAGGGAAUCCUGAUAAGAACCUCGCCAUGUAUGGUCCAAGGAAGCCUGCUGAGGACUGGGUGUUCACUGAUGUCUGCCAGACUGGAUACACAGAGGCAUGGUCUGGCUGGACCAUGCCACCAGGACCUCCGACCAUCACCUUGCUCUUGGCCUCUUGACCUCUUGGUUCACUGGUCCCAAGGCUUGGCAAGGAGGAGAUCCAGGGAGAGACUGGGAUAGGGACUUAGAUAACAAUUCCCAUCCAACUUUCAACAUGUUCAUUUACCCUGUGAUCCCACACUCAGGCAAGGCUGUCCAUCUCCCUGGGAAUCAGUUUCUUCAUCUGAUAAGCGAUGGUUAAGCCGAGGAUGGGGAACUUUACUAUACACUCCAGACAUCUUUUCAGCCUUUGCUCCCUUCCUGCCCUCUCUCCCUUCCCUCCCUUCCCUAGCCCCAGCAUACACUCCCCUUCUCCCUCUUCCUCCCUCCCUGCUCCCAACAAUCCUGCAUUUAUAUAAUAAAGCUUUG